rnacentral:rRNA from 1 species
AGCGAACGCUGGCGGCAGGCCUAACACAUGCAAGUCGAGCGGCCGUAGCAAUACGGCAGCGGCAGACGGGAGAGUAACACGUGGGAACGCGCCCUUCGGUCUGGAAUAACCCAGGGAAACUUGGGCUAAUACCGGAUACGCCCUUACGGGGAAAGAUUUAUUGCCGACAGCAACGGCCCGCGUCCGAUUAGCUAGUUGGUGAGGUAACGGUACACUAAGGCGACGGUCGGUAGCGGGUCGGAGUGGAAGACCAGCCUCACUGGGACUGAGAUACGGCCCAGACUCCUACGGGAGGCAGCGGUGGGGAAUAUUGUAAAAUGGGCGCAAGACUGAUCCAGCCAUGCCGCGUGGGUGAUGAAGGCCCUAGGGUUGUAAAGCCCUUUCAGCGGGGAAGAUAAUGACGGUACCCGCAGAAGAAGCCCCGGCUAACUUCGUGCCAGCAGCCGCCGUAAAAC